rnacentral:tRNA from 1 species
GCCGGGGUGGUGAAAUUGGUAGACACGCCAGACUCAAAAUCUGGUGAGGGCAACCUCGUGUCGGUUCAAGUCCGACCUCCGGUA